rnacentral:rRNA from 1 species
GAUGAACGUUGGCGGUGUGCCUAAUACAUGCAAGUCGAGCGGAGAUCAUAAAGUAGUAAUACCUUGUGAUUAUAGUGGCGAACGGGUGAGUAACGCGUUGGUGAUCUGCCUCGAAGUGUGGAAUAACGUUCCGAAAGGGACGCUAAUACCGCAUGUGCUCAAGGUUUUUAGAAAGCUUUGAGUAAAGGAUUUAUUCGCUUCGAGAGGAGCCUGCGUCCCAUCAGCUAGUUGGUAAGGUAACGGCUUACCAAGGCUAUGACGGGUAGGGGACCUGAGAGGGUGGCCCCCCACAAUGGAACUGAAACACGGUCCAUACACCUACGGGUGGCAGCAGUAGGGAAUAUUAGAAAUGGGCGAAAGCCUGAUCUAGCGACACCGCGUGUGCGAUGAAGGCCUUCGGGUUGUAAAGCACUUUUUGGAAGGAAUAGGAAGGAAGGUACUUCCAGAAUAAGUCUCGGCUAACUACGUGCCAGCAGCCGCCGUAAAAC